UACGAAGGGGGCAAGCGUUGUUCGGAAUUACUGGGCGUAAAGGGCGCGUAGGCGGCUUCGUAAGUCAGGUGUGAAAGCCCUGGGCUCAACCCGGGAACUGCAUUUGAUACUGAAGAGCUAGAGUGUGGUAGAGGAUAGUGGAAUUCCCGGUGUAGCGGUGAAAUGCGUAGAUAUCGGGAGGAACAUCAGUGGCGAAGGCGGCUAUCUGGAAUAACACUGACACUGAGGCACGAAAGCGUGGGUAGCAAACAGG
rnacentral:rRNA from 1 species